rnacentral:rRNA from 1 species
UACAGAGGGGGCAAGCGUUGUUCGGAAUUACUGGGCGUAAAGGGCGCGUAGGCGGCCGCCUAAGUCAGACGUGAAAUCCCUCGGCUCAACCGGGGAACUGCGUCUGAUACUGGGUGGCUUGAAUCCGGGAGAGGGAUGCGGAAUUCCAGGUGUAGCGGUGAAAUGCGUAGAUAUUCGCAAGAACACCAGUGGCGAAGGCGGCUCACUGGCCCGGUACUGACGCUGAGGUGCGAAAGCGUGGGGAGCAAACAGG